rnacentral:rRNA from 1 species
UACGUAGAAGACUAGUGUUAUUCAUCUUUAUUAGGUGUAAAGGGUACCUAGACGGUAAAAAUUAGCCUUAACAGGGUACGGUUUUACUAGAGUUAUACGGGGUGGGGUGAGUAUUUAAAAGAGUAGAGUUAAAAAUUUUUGUGAUACUUUGGAGGACUGAACGAAAAGCGAAAAGCGACCUCAUUGUUUGAUAACUGAGCGUUGAGGGACGAAGGGCUAAGGGUGAUG